rnacentral:rRNA from 1 species
CAGUAGCCGCGGUAACACGAAGGGGGCUAGCGUUGUUCGGAUUUACUGGGCGUAAAGCGCACGUAGGCGGACUUUUAAGUCAGGGGUGAAAUCCCGGGGCUCAACCCCGGAACUGCCUUUGAUACUGGAAGUCUUGAGUAUGGUAGAGGUGAGUGGAAUUCCGAGUGUAGAGGUGAAAUUCGUAGAUAUUCGGAGGAACACCAGUGGCGAAGGCGGCUCACUGGUCCAUUACUGACGCUGAGGUGCGAAAGCGUGGGGAGCAAACAGGAUUAGAUACCCCUGUAGUCCCUGUCUCUUAUAC